UUUUCAAACUUCUUGUUUUAUUACCACCACCAACUUCUGCCAAAUGUUCUGUACCACAAGUCCAGAUCUGGAUGAUACAAAGACUCCUAUUAAAAGCAGUUACUGCUCCACUCUACUGUUUUGACAGAAGGGGUUUUGCCUCAGGCCUCGUUACCAGGGAACUGCCGGUAAGGUCUUGGACAAAAAAAAAGCAAUGCACUCAUAAGGGUACUUGCGGAAAAACUCAAGUUACUGAAAUCUAUGGCAAUGUAACAGCAACAAUAACUACUCGUUAUACAACAGUCCUGUAAACAAACCGCAGAUGUAGUGGGCUACAGUACAACGUUAAAAAACAAUGUCGAGUAGAGUUGUAAACAGCAUUGCGCUAGUACUCAAGUAGGAGAAAGUAAAAGGAUUAUCAAGGCAAUUAAUUAUAGGGAAAGAAUGAGAUGUACAAUGC